GCUCAGCACCAGGUACUCAGUGCUUGGUAGGAGUCACUUGGCAAUUUUACAGAUGCUGAGAAUCUCAACCUUCAGCCCAUAAGGUGUUUCCUGUAAUAUGAGAAUUUAUCAGCUGGCUUUCAGAGCCACGUAGGCUGUGGAAAAUGCAGGAUAACACACAGAGAGAAAAAGUGGUGGUGAUUAAGGUGGAGUCACAG